GAUGAACGCUGGCGGCGUGCCUAAUACAUGCAAGUCGAGCGAACGGACGAGAAGCUUGCUUCUCUGAUGUUAGCGGCGGACGGGUGAGUAACACGUGGAUAACCUACCUAUAAGACUGGGAUAACUUCGGGAAACCGGAGCUAAUACCGGAUAAUAUUUUGAACCGCAUGGUUCAAAAGUGAAAGACGGUCUUGCUGUCACUUAUAGAUGGAUCCGCGCUGCAUUAGCUAGUUGGUAAGGUAACGGCUUACCAAGGCAACGAUGCAUAGCCGACCUGAGAGGGUGCUCGGCCACACUGGAACUGAGACACGGUCCAGACUCCUACGGGAGGCAGCAGUAGGGAAUCUUCCGCAAUGGGCGAAAGCCUGACGGAGCAACGCCGCGGGAGGGAUGAAGGUCUUCGGAUCGUAAAACCCUGUUAUUAGGGAAGAACAUAUGUGUAAGUAACUGUGCACAUCUUGACGGUACCUAAUCAGAAAGCCACGGCUAACUACGUG
rnacentral:rRNA from 1 species